GCAUAUCAUAGCGAGAAAAGAAACUAACAAGGGAUUUCCCCUAGUAACGGCGAGUGAAAGCGGGAUGAGCUCAAAUUUAAAAUCUUGCAGCCUCAGGUUGUACGAGUUGUAGUCUAGAGAAUCGUUUUCCGCGUUGGCCUGUGUACAAGUCCCUUGGAACAGGGCGUCAUAGAGGGUGAGAAUCCCGUCCUUGACACAGACUACCAAUGCUUUGUGAUGCGAUCUCGAAGAGUCGAGUUGUUUGGGAAUGCAGCUCAAAAUGGGUGGUAAAUUCCAUCUAAAGCUAAAUAUUGGCGAGAGACCGAUAGCGAACAAGUACCGUGAGGGAAAGAUGAAAAGCACUUUGGAAAGAGAGUUAAACAGUACGUGAAAUUGUUAAAAGGGAAACGAUUGAAGUCAGUCAUGCUUUCCGAGACUCAGCCGAUUCUGUCGGUGUACUUCUCGGUUUGCAGGCCAGCAUCAGUUUCGAUCUGUGGAAAAGGUUGGAGGGAACGUGGCAUCUUCGGAUGUGUUAUAGCCCUCCUUCGAAUACAUAGAGCGGGACUGAGGAACGCAGCGCGCCCUUUAUUGGGUUGGUCUUCGGAUACAUACGCGCUUAGGAUGCUGGCAUAAUGGCUUUAAACGACCCGUCUUGAAACACGGACCAAGGAGUCUAACAUGUUUGCGAGUGUUUGGGUGGUAAACCCGAACGCGUAAUUAAAGUGAAUGCAGGUGGGAUCCGCAAGGAGCACCAUCGACCGAUCUGGAUCUUUUGUGAUGGAUUUGAGUAAGAGCACAUAUGUUGGGACCCGAAAGAUGGUGAACUAUGCCUGAAUAGGGGCGAAGCCAGAGGAAACUCUGGUGGAGGCUCGUAGCGAUUCUGACGUGCAAAUCGAUCGUCAAAUUUGGGUAUAGGGGCGAAAAGAACUAAAUCGAAACCAUCUAGUAGCUGGGUUCCUGCG
rnacentral:rRNA from 1 species